UACGGGGGGGGCAAGCGUUGUUCGGAAUGACUGGGCGUAAAGGGCUCGUAGGUGGCCAACUAAGUCAGACGUGAAAUCCCUCGGCUUAACCGGGGAACUGCGUCUGAUACUGGAUGGCUUGAGUUUGGGAGAGGGACGCGGAAUUCCAGGUGUAGCGGUGAAAUGCGUAGAUAUCUGGAGGAACACCGGUGGCGAAGGCGACGUCCUGGACCAACACUGACACUGAUGAGCGAAAGCCAGGGGAGCAAACGGG
rnacentral:rRNA from 1 species